rnacentral:rRNA from 1 species
AGACCCGAAACCCGGUGAUCUAGCCAUGGGCAGGUUGAAGGUUGGGUAACACUAACUGGAGGACCGAACCGACUAAUGUUGAAAAAUUAGCGGAUGACCUGUGGCUGGGGGUGAAAGGCCAAUCAAACCGGGAGAUAGCUGGUUCUCCCCGAAAGCUAUUUAGGUAGCGCCUCGUGAAUUCAUCUCCGGGGGUAGAGCACUGUUUCGGCUAGGGGGCCAUCCCGGCUUACCAACCCGAUGCAAACUGCGAAUACCGGAGAAUGUUAUCACGGGAGACACACGGCGGGUGCUAACGUCCGUCGUGAAGAGGGAAACAACCCAGACCGCCAGCUAAGGUCCCAAAGUCAUGGUUAAGUGGGAAACGAUGUGGGAAGGCCCAGACAGCCAGGAUGUUGGCUUAGAAGCAGCCAUCAUUUAAAGAAAGCGUAAUAGCUCACUGGUCGAGUCGGCCUGCGCGGAAGAUGUAACGGGGCUAAACCAUGCACCGAAGCUGCGGCAGCGAACGUAUCACCCAAGACAACUUUACGGAGUUGACGAUUGACGGAGCGAAGCGACGUCAAAGCGUUCAUUAAAGUCGAGUUGGCUUAGGGAUACGUUCGUUGGGUAGGGGAGCGUUCUGUAAGCCUGUGAAGGUGUGUCGUGAGGCAUGCUGGAGGUAUCAGAAGUGCGAAUGCUGACAUAAGUAACGAUAAAGCGGGUGAAAAGCCCGCUCGCCGGAAGACCAAGGGUUCCUGUCCAACGUUAAUCGGGGCAGGGUGAGUCGACCCCUAAGGCGAGGCCGAAAGGCGUAGUCGAUGGGAAACGGGUUAAUAUUCCCGUACUUGGUGUUACUGCGAAGGGGGGACGGAGAAGGCUAUGUUGGCCGGGCGACGGUUGUCCCGGUUUAAGCGUGUAGGUGUGUGUUCCAGGUAAAUCCGGUUCACUUUAACACUGAGGCGUGACGACGAGGCACUACGGUGCUGAAGCAACAAAUGCCCUGCUUCCAGGAAAAGCCUCUAAGCAUCAGGUAACAUCAAAUCGUACCCCAAACCGACACAGGUGGUCAGGUAGAGAAUACCAAGGCGCUUGAGAGAACUCGGGUGAAGGAACUAGGCAAAAUGGUGCCGUAACUUCGGGAGAAGGCACGCUGACACGUAGGUGAAGUGAUUUACUCAUGGAGCUGAAGUCAGUCGAAGAUACCAGCUGGCUGCAACUGUUUAUUAAAAACACAGCACUGUGCAAACACGAAAGUGGACGUAUACGGUGUGACGCCUGCCCGGUGCCGGAAGGUUAAUUGAUGGG